UUCGCCCUUAGAGUUUGAUCCUGGCUCAGAGCGAACGCUGGCGGCAGGCUUAACACAUGCAAGUCGAACGCAUCCUUUGGGAUGAGUGGCAGACGGGUGAGUAACACGUGGGAACGUGCCCUCCGGUCUGGGAUAACCCUGGGAAACUAGGGCUAAUACCGGAUACGUGCUUUGGCAGAAAGGUUUACUGCCGGAGGAUCGGCCCGCGUCUGAUUAGCUAGUUGGUGGGGUAACGGCCUACCAAGGCGACGAUCAGUAGCUGGUCUGAGAGGAUGAUCAGCCACACUGGGACUGAGACACGGCCCAGACUCCUACGGGAGGCAGCA
rnacentral:rRNA from 1 species